ensembl:lncRNA
GAUGAAGGCAGCGUUGCUGAGAUAAUCCUUCUAAUCUCCUCGGUCUGCAAAUAGCCGGGGUUAGCGGCCACGCAGGUAAACCAUUACCUUAAUGGCUGCUGUUUGUUGGAGCGGAAGGUUAGUCUUGAUUUAGUCUUUUGUACUUGAUGGCCAGGCCAACAGUACAAUGCAACAAGGCAGGCAAAGAAAGGGCUGUUUGUUCUCGUGGGAUGUAAUUAAGGUGUAGUGGUUGGGAGGUGGGAUAACCCAGCCAAACGUCAGGGCAGCGGGGCUGGACAUAGAGAGAAAGGGUCGAGGGGAGAGAGGGCAGCCGACCCGGCCAACAGUCCGCCCGGUCCCCGGACUCCCAGACCCGACCCGGCGGGAAACGGCUGGGACGACAAACGGCAAUAUGUGGUUUGUUGGUGGAGAGUUGCGGUCAGUUUGGAUAGUUUGGAUAGCGUUUAUAUAGUUGAGAGUUUAGAGAGAGAGAUAGUUUGGAGAAGUGAGGAGAGAAGGAUGGCGAUGCCGAUGGUGGGUUUCGGGACAGAGGAUGUUGUAUGUGGACAGACUGUAAAGCCCUCUGAGGCAAAUUUGUAAUUUGCGAAUAUGGGCUAUACAAAAUAAAAUGAAUUUAAUUGAAUUGAAGGACAGGUGAUAAGAUGGAGCCAGCUAGGAAGAGGAGGAUUUCCCCUGUGUGGGGACACUUUGAUUCUAAAGCUGUUCUGGAGUUGGGCUGCAAUAACAACACCUCAUCCAUGCUAAAGGCAUCACCGGGCCUUGCAUGAGAAUACGGAGGAAACUGGACUUUCACCAAGCCAUGGAACCCUCCCUGCCGGAGCUCUCCGGCAAGACAAAGGGUGGAGGAAUCUGCAUCUAUUUCAACAACAGUUGGUGCAACGACGUAACGGUGAUGCUAAAACACUGUUCUCCUGAUCUGGAAACUUUCUUCAUCAACUGCAAACCCUUUUAUUCCCCCCGUGAGUUCGCUUCAUUCAUCCUGUGUUUACAUGCCGCCAGCGGACAACGUGCACGAGGCACAGCGGACACUCGCCGACCAGAUACGGCGUGUGGAGCGGACCAACCCGAACUCUUUAGUUAUAGUCCUUGGGUACUUUAACAAAGGAAAUCUCACCCAUGAACUUCCUAAAUACAGACAGUUUAUUAAAUGCCCCACCAGAGAGGAGAACACGCUGGACCACUGUUACACCACAGUAAGCAGGGCUUAUCACGCCGUCCCUCGUGCUGCACUGGUACACUCUGACCACGUCAUGGUCCAUCUGAUUCCUGCAUAUAGGCAGAAACUAAAGCUCUGCAAACCUGUGGUGAGGGAAUUCAAGAAGUGGACCAGUGAGGCGCUGGAGGAUCUUCGGGCGUGCUUUGACUGCACAGACUGGGAUGUUUUCAGGACUGCUACUGACAGUCUGGAUGAGUUCACAGAGGCUGUAACUUCCUACAUCGGCUUCUGUGAGGACAGCUGUGUACCAUCAUGCACCAAGGUGAGUUACAACAACGACAAACUCUGGUUCACAGCGGAACUCAGAACACUACGCCUGCAGAAGGAUCAGGCAUUUAGGAGCGGGGACCGCUUAGCAAGGAAGUUUAGCAAGGCGGUGAGAGAUGCUAAACGACUGUACUCUGAGAAACUCCAACAACAGUUCUCAGCAAGUGACUCUGCUUCGGUUUGGAGAGGCCUCAAACACCUCACUAACUACAAGCCAAAAAAAAAACCCCACUCCAUGAAUGACCUCCGCCUGGCAGACGAGCUGCAUGAGUUCUACUGCAGAUUCGAAAGACAAUGUCCUGAUCCCAUCCCCCACAGCUCCACCAACCUGCUGCAGUCCCCCUCCCCUCCCUCCCCCAGCCCAUCAGGUGCUCACGCCUCUUCAUCUAUAUCACCUUCCCCUCCCCCACCAGCAAAGACCCUCUCUAUUCUGCAGAGAGCGUUAACCGGCUCUUUAAGACCCCGUGCAGACGGACCGUACUUGGCUGAACCCGGGUUCAUUUUUCACACCUACCCACUUUUUAAAUCGUGUGCACAUGAACCCAGUGAAUCCGAUUGACUCCACUGUAGUACAUCCCCCACACCUGUUGGUGGCGCUUUAGGUGCUACAGACAGCGUAUAAGACAUGCGCGCCGUAUACAAACGAAAACUCCACAGAAGAAGAAGAAGACGACGACUGGGUUGGAUUGCAUGCAAUCACGUGAUGUAAUCACGAGGGGGAAUCCGAUUAGGUAUGCGGAUAGCGUGCAGACGAACACCAACAGUGAUCGUAUUUCGAGUUUACUCACUUUGGACCCCCGAUUCGAGGGAGUGCGGAUACGGAGUGCGGAUACAGUGCGUUCGUCUGCGCCAUAGGGCUAUCCGGAGACGGGGUUCACGGGGUUCAGACAAACUAGAGUCCGUCUGCACGGGGUCUAAAAGACAAAAUCCCCGUAAGGCAGCCGGUCCGGACUCUGUCUCCCCUCAUACCCUGAAGCAUUGUGGUGAAUACAGUCUCCGGUGUUCACUGACAUCUUCAACACCUCCCUGUAGACAUGCCAUGUACCAGCCUGCUUCAAGGCCUCCACCAUCAUCCCUGUUCCCAAGAAGCCCAGGAUCACAGGACUCAAUGACUACAGGCCUGUCGCUCUGUAGUCAUGAAGUCUUUUGAACGGCUAGUCCUGUCCCACCUGAAGACCCUCACUGACCCCCUUCCUGGACCCAGUUCGCCUACCGAGCCAACAGGUCUGUGGACGAUGGUGUCAACAUGGCCCUCCACUACAUCCUCCAGCAUCUGGACUCCCCAGGAACCUAUGCCAGGAUCCUGUUUGUGGACUUCAGCUCUGACUUCAACACCAUUACAUUACAUGUCAUUUAGCAGACGCUUUUAUCCAAAGCGACGUACAAUAAGUGCAUUCAACCAUAGGGUACAAACUCAGGAGAACAAGAAACAAGAAAGUGCAAUUUCCUCAAAUAAGCCAAUUUACAAUUUGCUAUAGAUGAGUGACGUUACAAGUACAAUUUAAGUGCUACAAUUUGUUAGUCUUUAGUCGAGGUAGAGUCUGAAGAGGUGUGUCUUUAGUUUGCGGCGGAAGAUGUGAAGGCUCUCUGCGGUCCUGAUGUCUUCAGAGAGCUCGUUCCACCAUUUCGGCGCAAGGACAGCGAAGAGUCGAGAUCUAGUCGAGUGUUUUGCUCUCAGUGAGGGAGGGACGAGUAGUUUUGCAGAUGCAGAGCGGAGAGUGCGGGUUGGGAUGUAGGGUUUGACCAUGUCCUGGAUGUAAGCUGGACCCGAUCCAUUCACAGCAUGGUACGUGAGCACCAAUGUUUUGAACUGGAUGCGGGCGGCCACCGGUAGCCAGUGAAGAGAGCGGAGGAGUGGAGUAGUGUGGGAGAAUUUCGGAAGGUUGAAGACCCGUCGAGCUGCUGCAUUCUGAAUGAGCUGCAGAGGUCGAAUUGCGGUGGCAGGGAGACCAGCCAGGAGGGAGUUGCAGUAGUCCAGGCGGGAGAUGACAAGAGCCUGAAUCAGUACCUGCACUGCCUUCUGAGUGAGAAGGGGACGUAUUCUCCUGAUGUUGUAGAGCGUGUACCUACAGGCUCGCGUUGUCGCGGUGAUGUUGGGAGUCAGGGAGAGUUGGCUGUCGAGUGUGACGCCGAGGUUCUUAGCGGUCAAAGUGGGCGUUAGUACGGAGUUCCCAAAGUUGACUGUCAGGUCCUGGGUAAGCAAAUCUUUUCCGGGAAAGAGAAGUAGUUCAGUCUUGUCGGGGUUGAUUUUCAGAUGGUGGGCGGACAUCCACUGAGAGAUGUCAGUUAGACAGGCAGAGAUCCGAGCCGCCACCUGGGUGUCCGAGUGAGGGAAGGAGAGAAUUAGUUGGUGUCAUCGGCAUAGCUGUGGUAAGAGAAGCCAUGCGAGCGAAUGACAGCGCCAAGAGAGUUGGUGUAAAGCGAAAACAGGAGGGGACCCAGCACGGAACCCUGAGGAACUCCAGUAGUAAGAGGACAAGGUUCCGACACAGAUCCUCGCCAGGUUACCCGGUAGGUGCGGCCGUCGAGGUAGGACGAGAGAAGGGAGAGAGCAGAGCCUGUGACACCAAGUUCCUGAAGGGAGGAAAUAAGGAUCUGGUGGUUGACCGUGUCAAAUGCAGAAGAGAGGUCCAGAAGGAUGAGGACAGAGGAG